CAUAAGGUAACAGAUACAAGGCACCCAGAAGAAUGUAGAACUUUCAUAACAGAAAGAAAAGAUUUUAGGCAUCUAUUUUACCAUCUCAGAGGAAGAUAGCUGCAGUUGUGUAAAACAGUGAAGGAAGACUUUGAAAGAGCAGAAUCGUGAGGAAUGAUGCCAGUGCCAUUUGCUGAAAAUGAAAGCAGGAACUUGGACCAGAAGUUUUAGAAUCCUGAAUUUAUCAAAGAAAUGUGAAGGCUGAGGCUUACAGAGAUCGAAGAGUAGAGGAUGCAUUGAGGCCACAGUUGAAGGAAAGAAGCCUGGAUUUCCACUGAAUUUGGGCUAAAUUUCCACUAUUCUUCUUCCUCUUCCUUAAGAUUCUGCUCAUUGGGUUACCCACCAACCCAGGAAACAGACUUAUCUCCUUAUCCUCAAGUUGCUGAAGGCAGGAAGAAUGAGCAAGGUUUUGCUCAAGGAAGAGCUAUUGUAACAAAAUAAUUGUAAUUAGUCUGAUAGUGCAGGGAAAGAAACUCCAUUUCUUCUGAGGAAUUCGGGGCAUUAUUUGCAUUUGAAAAAGCAAUCUCAUUAGAGCAGUAUGUUAUAUUAUAAGACAUUUUGCAGAAAAAUGUUUGAGAAGAACCAUA
rnacentral:lncRNA from 1 species